rnacentral:rRNA from 1 species
GACGAACGCUGGCGGCGUGCUUAACACAUGCAAGUCGAACGGAAAGGCCCUGCUUUUGUGGGGUGCUCGAGUGGCGAACGGGUGAGUAACACGUGAGUAACCUGCCCUUGACUUUGGGAUAACUUCAGGAAACUGGGGCUAAUACCGGAUAGGAGCUCCUGCUGCAUGGUGGGGGUUGGAAAGUUUCGGCGGUUGGGGAUGGACUCGCGGCUUAUCAGCUUGUUGGUGGGGUAGUGGCUUACCAAGGCUUUGACGGGUAGCCGGCCUGAGAGGGUGACCGGCCACAGUGGGACUGAGAUACGGCCCAGACUCCUACGGGAGGAAGCAGUGGGGAAUAUUGCACAAUGGGCGGAAGCCUGAUGCAGCAACGCCGCGUGCGGGAUGACGGCCUUCGGGUUGGAAACCGCUUUCGCCUGUGACGAAGCGUGAGUGACGGAAAUGGGUAAAGAAGCACCGGCUAACUACGG